UACGGAGGAUGCAAGCGUUAUCCGGAUUUAUUGGGUUUAAAGGGUGCGCAGGCGGGGACGUAAGUCAGUGGUGAAAAGCUGCCGCUUAACGGUAGUCUUGCCAAUGAUACUGCGUUUCUUGAGUAUGGUUAAGGUAGGCGGAAUGUGCAGUGUAGCGGUGAAAUGCAUAGAUAUUGCACAGAAGGCCGAUUGCGGAGGCAGCUUACUGAGCCAUAACUGACGCUGAGGCACGAAAGCGUGGGGAUCAAACAGGA
rnacentral:rRNA from 1 species